GCCAGCAGCCGCGGUAAUACGGAGGGUGCGAGCGUUAAUCGGAAUUACUGGGCGUAAAGCGCAUGCAGGUGGUUUGUUUAAGUCAGAUGUGAAAGACCCGGGGCGUCAACCUCGGAAAUUGCAUUUGUAAACUAGGCAGACUAGAGUACUGUAGAGGGGGGUAGGAAGUUUCAGGUGUAGCGGUGAAAUGCGUAGAGAUCUGAAGGAAUACCGGUGGCGAAGGCGGCCCCCUCGGACAGAUACUGACACUCAGAUGCGAAAGCGUGGGGAGCAAACAGGAUUAGAUACCCUGGUAG
rnacentral:rRNA from 1 species